AGAAUCAACGCUGGCGGCGUGCCUAACACAUGCAAGUCGAACGAGAAAGGGGUAGCAAUACCCUGAGUAAAGUGGCGCACGGGUGAGUAACACGUGACUAACCUACCCUUGAGUGGGGGAUAACUGAGGGAAACCUUAGCUAAUACCGCAUAAUACCCACGGGUCAAAGGAGCAAUUCGCUCGAGGAGGGGGUCGCGGCCGAUUAGUUAGUUGGCGGGGUAAUGGCCCACCAAGACGAUGAUCGGUAUCCGGCCUGAGAGGGCGCACGGACACACUGGAACUGAAACACGGUCCAGACUCCUACGGGAGGCAGCAGUGGGAAUUUUGCGCAAUGGGGAACCCUGACGCAGCAACGCCGCGUGGAGGAUGAAGUCCUUCGGGACGUAAACUCCUUUCGAUCGGGACGAUUAUGACGGUACCGGAAGAAGAAGCCCGGCUAACUUCGUGCCAGCAGCCGC
rnacentral:rRNA from 1 species